UGUAGGGGAUAUUUCCGAAUUGCUUAUCAACA
rnacentral:scRNA from 1 species